rnacentral:rRNA from 1 species
AUUGAACGCUGGCGGCAGGCCUAACACAUGCAAGUCGAACGAGUGGCGGACGGGUGAGUAAUGUCUGGGAAACUGCCUGAGGGAGGGGGAUAACUACUGGAAACGGUAGCUAAUACCGCAUACCAUCAGGUGUCCCCAGAGGGGAGUAGCUAGUAGGUGGGGUAAUGGCUCACCCAGGCGACGAUCCCCAGCUGGUCUGAGAGGAUGACCAGCCACACUGUAACUGAGACACGGUCCAGACUCCUACGGGAGGCAGCAGUGGGGAAUAUUGCACAAUGGGCGCAAGCCUGAUGCAGCCAUGUCGCGUGUAUGAAGAAGGCCUUCGGGUUGUAAAGUACUUUCAGCGAGGAGGCGUUACUCGCAGAAGAAGCACCGGCUAACUCCGUGCCAGCAGCCGCGGUAAUAC